CCCUGACGGAUGAAGGCAGCAGCAGCCCCUGGCCACCCUGUGCCAGGACCCUUCCUAAAAGCUGAGGCUCCUGCCCUCGGCCGCUGCUGGAGCUGAGCUCCCGCUGCUGCGGCCCUGCUGGGACGGGCCAGGCGCUCCUGAGCCGGGCCCUGAGGGAGGGCUGAGCCGGGCGAUGCCAGGCCUGCCUCCCCACGCGGCUGCCAGGGCAGCCCGCCCCGCCUGAGCUGCUCGCAGUGCCGAGCUGCCCUCGGCCCCCGCCUCACCUGCUCUUUCCAAGUCACCUGCUGCACUGGCUGCUCCCCGGCAGAGCACCUGGACCCGACUGGCCCUUUCCAGAGCCAGCACCUGCUACAUCUCAGCAAUGCUUUCCAGCUCCAAAGUGCCAUUAUUGGACUAAUUAACCACAUAUACACAGAGAUGGAGAAAUGGAAACAAUCCAGAGCUAUUACAUUGGAAAAAAAGGAAAGCUCCACCAGAAAGCAGAUUCCUGCAACAACUUCCUUCGCUUUUUCUUUCCCUGAUUAUGUGUAUUGCUACCAAAAUAUUUACUUCUGUUUUCUCUGACUCUACAAAGAAUGAAGUUUCUUUUCAAAAUCCCUGUAUGAAGUAGGUCGACAGGAUCACCUCCCUCCUAAAUAAACCUUCAGGCUGUGGUACUGGAUAGCACCACCUUCACCAUCAUAGUUUCUCCUGAAAUGUAAAUCUUUCCAAGUAGGAGAGAAGGUAAGCAGUGGCUGAGGGUAAAAUGGUCUUAUAGAUGUACAAAUCUCAAAGAACUCCAGUUUAGUGGUAACUAAUAUCUCUUGAUCUCCACUUCACACACUGAACAGGCACUCCCAGCCCCUGGAUCCCAGCAGCUAUACUCUGGUUACAUAACCUUCUGAUAGCUUAUCACACAGUCCUUCACUAAAACAAAUUACUCUAGAUCUCUCCUGUUAAGGGUGAGAGCAGCUCUAACAUCCUUCAUGAACGCACGGUGGAGCUUGAUGUUUGGAGAAUGCUCCAGGCAGACUUUUGAGAGUCACCAGUCUGUUCACCAGGCUACUGACUGCAGGCUCAGGCCCUUGCCUAAGACAAGCAGUGGUUACUUGAAUAUAUUCCUCUUGUUACAGUAGGAGAAAUUAACUAUCAAGGAGCUGUAAAAACUACACUGAGAUGCUGGCUUGCAGAGCUCUGGGUGGGAGGUCAGAGAAGAAAAGAGACUGUGAACUGCCAACUUUGGGAUGACAAAAGGCAGAAAGACUGGUGAUGCUGGGCAGGUGAAUGGACACAGAGACACAGCAGGAACUUAUUAAUAAGGAAGGAGAUGAAGCUGGGUGACACCAGCAAGGUGGAUGGACACAAGGUGGAUGGGGAGGGCAGCAAGAGCUGAAGACUCCUGGAGGAGAAGCAAGAUUUUUCUACACUGGGACUGUGAAGCACAAAACCUUUGGUGGGGGUCCCUGCUCAGAGGCACCAGCUCCAGCUGUUUCUGUGUUACUGUGCCAGGAAUAAGCAGCUUUAUGGACAUGUGAAGCUCUGCGUGGGCAACCCACGGUGGAACCAGUGAGGAAACUCGGUUUGGCUGUGUGAGGAGGCUGGGCUGGGCAUCCAGCAGGGCCUGCUGGGUCACUGGGGCCACCUGCCAUGCAGGGGCUCCGGUCCCAGCUGUGCAAGUGUGGCCUUGGGAGUGCAACUGCCAGAGCCUUGGGAAUGGGCACACUGGGAAGUUUCACCAACGGGGCGAGUGGGGAAGGGCUACGCUGCUUAUUGAGCUGCUAAAGGCCAAAACCACCUGCCACAGCUUUAAGACAAACAGUACUGCAGCACCCAUCAGAAGUAAGUUUUUCUUUACUCCUUGAUAAACAAAACCAAGGAAAACCAAACCAAAUGUUCCUUUCUCCUUGAAAUAUAUGUAGAGAGCUUCUGUGAAAUUAGGUAAAAUUAAAUACAAAACCAAACAAACUAAAGAAUAACCUAAAAAUACCUACUCUACAGAAACCUCCAUGAAAAUAGUGCCAGGUGAGAGCAAAUCUCAGGCAAAACUGAAAAACAUAUUCAAGGCAGACUAAUUUUAACCUCUUAGAAAUGCAAGUUACAUAAAUUUCAAGUUUCUCAGACUCCCACCCACUUACCAACAUUCAGUCUAUAUUCCUUCAAUCAGCUCAAAAGUAUAGUGAUCUGCCUUCAGUCAAAGCAAAAGUCAUAUAACAAACGACACAAAAAUAGACAAAAGGUAAGCAAGGAACUUUUGCAGAAGAAUAUGCAUGGAUUUCCUUUAAUUCAUCUGUGACUAACUUAUAAAGCAGCUUUCUGCCAUGGAAAUUAUUUCCAAUUUUGCUUAUUUGCAUACCAACUAAGUCAGGCAACUGCCCCUCAAAACCCAGAAUUGACUUCUCAUAACUAAAUAACAAUACAAAAGCCUGAAACAUCAGACUUCAAAAACAAGCUUCACUUGAACCAUAACCUAUGCUUCAUGACUGAAAGGCAAAAUUAAACAAACCUGAAAAAAAAUAUAAUCUAAAGACAUUUCCUCAAAACAUUUGCUGCUUAUCCCAGUUGUGGACAUCUCUCUUUUUUUAUUCAACAGUAAAAUCAAAAAUCAACUAAAUUUAGAUAAAUUUUGCCCUGAGUAUUAUCAACCUGGUUUCAACCACAUGCACAGUGUCCUAAUCCUCCUAAUUUGGUUUUUACUGGCAAGCUUCUGCUCUCUCUCCCCUGCCUAGCUUCAUUCAUGAGUCUACAGCUACCCUAUCUUCAGCCUCACCUACUGGUCAUAUUCAUAUUCAUUCAUAUUGGUCACUGAAAGUAGCCCUUAGCCUUUUACUUUUAUUGGGGAUUGUGGGGCUGCCCACAGUCAGUUCACACUGAUGACCAGAGAGGUCACAAGGCUACACUGAUAUCUAAAAUCACCCUUCUCCUGUAUUAGAUAUUAGAUUUUGUGCCAUAUGCUACAUGUAUCCUUGUGCCAACCACUGAUCAAAAGACAUGAUCAAAAGAUUAAAUGGUGAAUCAGGUCCUCAAGUACAUUAUACAGACAAACCAGGGUUUUUUUCAUAACAAUUUCUGGUGUAAAAAAUUGUUUUACAUUUCUACCAACAAAAGUACUACAUUUUUAAAUACACUUACACAAAAUUUAAUUCCAGAAGUCACUGAAGGAGUUCCUCCUUUACCCCAAGCACACUUUUAAGCGAGGCCAUGCACUGUUGCUAUUGAUAGUACUCAGUGUUUUCCCCCCGUGCUGCUGAUGCACAGCUCACCAAAACAGACAAGGAAAGAGCAUCAAAGGAAAUCAUGUCCAGUUCAUAAGGACAUGUGACUAACCAGUACUACCAGCCUUUGAAUACAGCCACUUCCUUGGGGCCAUUCUCAUGCCUGUUCCAUGCAUGGCUUUGUCCUAGUGUGUUUGUUUUUAAUAACAUAAAGAAAAAUCACCAUUGUACAGGAAACAAACAUAAGAAGUUAUGCAUCACAGAAAUAUUAAAUAUCUUAAAUCACAAAAGAUGAUAAGUAGGGCAUUAAGUUAAGCGAUUGAAUGAAUAGCAAACAAAUUUAAAGCUUGUAAGGGGCAGACCUGCUAAAAAAAGGAGGGGGAAAUUAUAUGACAGAUCAGUUGCUUUUUCAGAAAUUCAGAGUGUGCCUAAUUUGUCUCCUUGUAAAAUGAAAGGUCAUUAUUUAACUUUUUGCUCCAUCACAGCUAAGGCAGAAUUCAAAGCGUAUAUAAUUUUGCUGACAAAUUAAAGUGUCCUCACUCUCCAAGUAACAGGAACUUCAGCUGCACCAAAGAAAGCAGCGUUCUGCAAAGAUUGACCUGUGUCUUCACAUACAGAUCUGCAAAAGCAUUCUAGAAGAGAGAAUUCACUUGGCAGGGAACAAGAGUCUAGUUCCUAUUUCCAAAUCAGUCUUGUGAACAAGAAAGCCCAACGAUCCCUACACACAAGGAGAUGUCUUCACUGCCAGAGAUAUCUGUGAGAGACUGGAAGGACUGAUGUCUAGAGACUCUCUGGAGUGCAUGUGUGAGGGGGUAGGGGCAGUGCCCUGCUCUGCACCCCCCACCCUAGAGCCUGUAUCCCAGCCCUGCUGGGGCUGCCAAUUCCUGGCACAGGGGAACCAGUGCUCCACACCCUCCUCUGGAGCCCCUAACCCAGCUCCUAAGUGGCCAAAUGACCACAAGUGCCACCUGGGGGAAGGGCCCAGAAAGGCCAAGGGGUAUUUAUGGCCAAACACAAAGCAAUCAGAUGUCUUGACCCUACUUCCUCUUGGAAUUUUUACCUCAAUACCACUGGAAUCCAGGAGUUGGUAGUGAUAUGUGUCCUUUUCUGGAUCUUUUCUGUCUUUCUUCUUCUAAUUCCUUCUUCUUGGAAUUUUUGAGAACUUAAAACUGAAUUGGCUUAGAGUUUGCUAAGUUGAAUGGGCCAAGUUAAUGCUUUGUGAAAUGUUUUAUGUUGAUUGAAUGCUGCAUUAAACCCUUUUCAAAGUUUCUUUUGAUUUUCUAAAGUUGCCAAUAAAGUUCUUU